rnacentral:rRNA from 1 species
AGCUCCAAUAGCGUAUAUUCAAGUUGCUGCAGUUAAAAAGCUCGUAGUUGGAUUUCUGGUUAUUAACAUAUCUGGCCCGCCGGAUAUGUCCGUGCGUGUGCUGAUAUGUUUUGACCAUCCUUCUAAUUUAUAUAUCUGCGAUGGCAACAUCAAUGAUAUAUGGGUUAGAUCUUUGACUUUGAACAAAUUAGAGUGUUUCAGGCAGGCAAUAUUGCUAUGAAUACAUGAGCAUGGAAUCAUCAGUUUCUCGCGCUUCGGCUUGAUUCUGGUUGGUUUUCAGCUGAAGUCAUAUGAUGGAUAGGGACAGUUGGGGGUGCUAGUAUUCAUUGGCCAGAGGUGAAAUUCUUGGAUUCAAUGAAGACUAACUACAGCGAAAGCAUUCACCAAGGAUGUGCUCU